CAGCCGCCACGGUAAAACGGAGGGUGCAAGCGUUAAUCGGAAUUACUGGGCGUAAAGCGCACGCAGGCGGUCUGACAAGUCAGAUGUGAAAUCCCCGGGCUUAACCUGGGAACUGCAUUUGAAACUGGCAAGCUAGAGUCUCGUAGAGGGGGGUAGAAUUCCAGGUGUAGCGGUGAAAUGCGUAGAGAUCUGGAGGAAUACCGGUGGCGAAGGCGGCCCCCUGGACGAAGACUGACGCUCAGGUGCGAAAGCGUGGGGAGCAAACAGGAUUAGAUACCCGGGUAGUCCCUGUCUCUUAUAA
rnacentral:rRNA from 1 species